UACGUGAGGACCGAGCGUUGUCCGGAAUCAUUGGGCGUAAAGAGCGUGUAGGCGGCCUUUUAAGUCCUGCGUGAAAUCCUGCGGCUCAACCGCAGACGGUCGUGGGAAACUGGAAGGCUAGAGUGCGGGAGAGGAGAGUGGAAUUCCCGGUGUAGCGGUGAAAUGCGCAGAUAUCGGGAAGAACACCCGUGGCGAAGGCGGCUCUCUGGAACGCAACUGACGCUGAGACGCGAAAGCGUGGGGAGCAAACAGG
rnacentral:rRNA from 1 species